GCCUAUUUAGCUCAGUCAGUAGAGCAGUUGAUUUGUAAUCAAAAGGUCAAAGGUGCAAAUCCUUUAAUAGGCA
rnacentral:tRNA from 2 species